UUCUUUUCUUUCCAGAUAAGCAAAGCUUUUAAACUCCUGACCUCAGAGGCUCCUCUUCUAUACUCUGUAAUAUAUAAUCUGAAUAGCCAAAUUGCCACGUUUUCCCAGCAGCAACCUUAACUUGGGUCACUUGGGCGGGUGUAGGUCAAUAUGGGAAAGUCGUUUCAGUGUCCUCUCAUUAUUCUACCAAACCACUGACAGGCAAAAACCCAACCAACUCGAUGUAUCAAAUUUACUGUCCACUGUUUUUGUGCAUGAUUUCUAAUCUAAUUAAUUCAAAACCACAAAUAACUGGUUAAUUUUAGUCAAGAGGUUAUCUACCACCUUUAAGUAGAUGUCUAAAAUAGGGAACAGUCUAAUUAAAAUAUAGGCCAGACCAAGGAAGAUGAACAGAGCCUUACUUUUUAACACCAUCUUGUGGGAUAUAACUUCAAAUCUAGCAUUCAGGGACAAAAUGGGGCAUGAGUAAAAGGAUGACUUCGCUAGAAAAUAAUUAGUAAGAUGUUUUUUAAAUUUAGAAAAACCAUGAGAUUGAAGAGCAGAGGAGAUAUAUGUCCCAACUCACAUAUAUUUCAAUCCCUUAUUUUAAAAACAGCUCCUGUUUUUGUUUUGGAUAAAAGCUGAGCACCAAAUUCCCUUUCUGGUCCCCUCAUCCAAAAUCCUAGUAGAAUUCCUUGAUUAGAAGCUAGUUCACACUUCUCCCCACCUUUUUUUUCAAACGCAGAGGUGGUUUUUGGAAUAUGGGCCUCAACCAUCACAUUCCAGCUUUAAAGUAAAAAGACGUCAUGUGACCAUCACAUCAGAGACUUGGGGCACGUGAUUCCAAUUGGUAUGUGUGGGGCUCCAGCCACUUAGCUGGAAUUCACCAUAAACUGCAUCUCGAGGAUCAAGUUUAGGCUCCCCAGUCCAUUGUGACAUCCAGCAAAGUGGAGCCGGGCGCCCCCAGCAUCCCGUCUGUCUGAUGCUAAAUGGUGAGGCUCUCCAACCCACUUAGUUCCAAGCUCAACCUUUUGCAAAAGCUCAGCCUUCUGCACCAAUGGGGAUAUCGUGCUGCUCAGAGAUGGGUUUUCGUUAUGUUGCCCAGGCUGAUGUAGAACUCCUGGGCUCAAGCAAUCCACCUGCUUUGGCCUCCCAAAGCGCUGGGAUUACAGACUUGAGCCACCAUGCCCUGCCGGCUUAAUGUUAUAUUCAAAUUUCUCCAACUGAAGGGCAUGUACUGUUGAGCAUGCUCAGAAGCCAAGGUUCAGGCCAUUCUUCAACUAUAGAUGCUUCAACUCAUCUCUCUUCCUUUGAAAUAUUCUCUCCCUUAUUAAUUUCACCAAGUAACCCCCUGGUUAUUCCCCUAGAACACACAGAGCUGCUACUAGUCUGUGCCUUAUGUGAUUUAGAAAAAGACUCUUGGAAUGCAGCCCCACACCAUGAUGUACAGAGCAUGAGUUGGGUAUCAGCCCCAUUUUAUUCUCUAAUUCAGGUGCCCUUGCACAGUGAAUAACAUGGCAGCUGUGAGACUAGUGAUGCUAAACAGAUUUAUUUUUUGGUGCAAAUUCUAAUGAAUUAAUAAUAGCUGUUUCAAAAAAACACACAGUGCUAAGAAAGACUCUGAGGCUGUUUUCAGGCUCAGUAGAUAAAGUGUACUAUAAGCUGUGAUGAUUUGCCUUGGUUGGGAGAAUGGCACUAGGUGUGACAAGAAUUUGCUAUCUAAGUACUAGAGGCAUCUCGCCCAUCCUGAAGAGGCAGGAAGCCUGGAGUAGGCAGAGGUUGAGGUAGAAUGUGGGCCCAGACAAGUUAUAUAAUUUAUAGAACACAACUUUCAAAUGCCCUUGUAAUACAAGGCAACAAUCCUACUUUUCCAGGUCUCUAACAAAAAGCAUCUAGCUGAGCUAGAGUGUUUUCAUGAGGUGUCUGCUACACAAAACAAUAUCUUGCUUAAUAAAUAACACCCGUUUCUACUUGGUGUCAUUUUACUGUUUAAUCAAAACUUAUUUUCACCACUCUUAACCACAGUCUAAAGGAGGAUGCUUCAAUCUCUUCCUGAUUUAACCUUAAACUUGGUCAUGUGUACCAUAUGACUAGGAUUGCCAGAGUCAGCCACUCUCCCAACAAAGGAUGCUCAGUUAAGUAUUGCACAGAACACACUUAUACUAAAAAUUGUUUGUUGUUUUCCUGAAAUUCAAAUUUAAUGGGGUAUAAUGUAUUUUACUGGGCAAUCCUACCUAUGAUGGACAUAUAUAUUUUUCCCCAGCUUUAUUAAGGUAUAAUUGACAAAUAAAAGUGUAAAUAUUUAUGAUAUAAAUGGACAUAUAUACAGAUGCUCCUCGACUUUUGAGGGGAUUACAUCCUGAUAAACCUGUCACAAGUUAAAAAUACUGUGAGUUGAAAAUUCAUUUGACACACCUAACUUACUGAAUAUCCUAGCUUGGCCUAGCCAACCUUAAAUGUGCCCAGAACACCUACAUCAGCAUAUAGUUGGGCUGAUGUAACACAAACCCUAUUUUAUCAUAAACGGUUUAAUAUCUCAUGUAAUUUAUUGAAUAUUGUACUGAAAAUGAAAGAUAAAAUGGUUGUAUGGGUACUC